UAAGGAAUAUUGGUCAAUGGACGCAAGUCUGAACCAGCCAUGCCGCGUGGAGGAUGAAGGCCCUCUGGGUUGUAAACUUCUUUUAUCUGGGAAGAAACCGGACUUUUCUAAGGCCGUUGACGGUACCAGAUGAAUAAGCACCGGCUAACUCCGUGCCAGCAGCCGCGGUAAUACGGAGGGUGCAAGCGUUAUCCGGAUUCACUGGGUUUAAAGGGUGCGUAGGUGGGCAGGUAAGUCAGUGGUGAAAUCUCUGGGCUUAACCCGGAAACUGCCGUUGAUACUAUCUGUCUUGAAUGUAGUGGAGGUGAGCGGAAUAUGUCAUGUAGCGGUGAAAUGCUUAGAUAUGACAUAGAACACCCAUUGCGAAGGCAGCUCGCUACACUAUUAUUGACACUGAGGCACGAAAGCGUGGGGAUCAAACAGGAUUAGAUACCCUGGUAGUCCACGCCCUAAACGAUGGAUACUCGACAUCAGCGAUACACGGUUGGUGUCUGAGCGAAAGCAUUAAGUAUCCCACCUGGGAAGUACGACCGCAAGGUUGA
rnacentral:rRNA from 1 species